AGUGGGAUAACUGGGUCAAAUGGUGGUUCCAUUUGUAGGUUUUUGAGGAAUGUCCAUACUGCUUUCCAGAGUGGUUGCACCAAUUUGCUGUCUCACCAGUGAU
rnacentral:pre_miRNA from 1 species